rnacentral:lncRNA from 1 species
AAUUACUGUAGUUUCUCAAAAAAAACCCAUCUAACUGAGCCCCCUUAAGUUGAAAAUGACAGCCCAGACACACAUGAAACUAAAUAUAACAUGUAAAGUGGUAUUAGUCAAGUAUUCUGCUGGUUUGAUCACUAACAUAGGGUACUUAGAAGAAAAGUUACAGUUGGAGAACUUGUUUUACUAUAUAUAUACAAAAAACUACAAACGUUAGCUGAAUUGGCCAAGUCAACAGCUGAAAACCCCCUUAUAACAAGUAAACUGCCUGACCAAAUCACAUGAAACUUUGGCAGCCUAUGUAGAAUGCACCCUGAAUGUUGUGUGAAAUUAAAAUAGAAAUAUUCUACCAUUAUUUCAACUUUUACACCAGUCUUGUGUUUAAAUAUAAGUAAUUACUGUAGUUUCUCAAAAAAAACCCCAUCUAACUGAGCCCCCUUAAGUUGAAAAUGACAGCCCAGACACACAUGAAACUAAAUAUAACAUGUAAAGUGGUAUUAGUCAAGUAUUCUGCUGGUUUGAUCACUAACAUAGGGUACUUAGAAGAAAAGUUACAGUUGGAGAACUUGUCUUACUAUAUAUAUACAAAAAACAACAAACGUUAGCUGAAUUGGCCAAGUCAACAGCUGAAAACCCCCUUAUAACAAGUAAACUGCCUGACCAAAUCACAUGAAACUUUGGCAGCCUAUGUAGAAUGCACCCUGAAUGUUGUGUGAAAUUAAAAUAGAAAUAUUCUACCAUUAUUUCAACUUUUACACCAGUCUUGUGUUUAAAUACUGUAUAAGUAAUUACUGUAGUUUCUCAAAAAAAAACCCAUCUAACUGAGCCCCCUUAAGUUGAAAAUGACAGCCCAGACACACAUGGAACUAAAUAUAACAUGUAAAGUGGUAUUAGUCAAGUAUUCUGCUGGUUUGAUCACUAACAUAGGGUACUUAGAAGAAAAGUUACAGUUGGAGAACUUGUCUUACUAUAUAUAUACAAAAAACUACAAACUUUAGCUGAAUUGGCCAAGUCAACAGCUGAAAACACCCUUGUAACAAGUAAACUGCCUUACCAAAUCACAUGAAACUUUGGCAGCCUAUGUAGAAUGCACCCUGAAUGUUGUUUCAAAUUAAAAUAGAAAUAUUAUA